rnacentral:lncRNA from 1 species
CAGUAUUGACGUACAAAGAUAGGCGACUCUCUGUGGAAUCAGACAUAGCAGGCCCAGACACUGCAGAAUGUGCUCCAGGUUUAUAUGUCCCAAAGCUCAAAUGUGAGCAGUCAGCAGCUAAAGUUUGAAUGUAAUCUGGGAAAACCACGCCAUGUUUGUUAUCUGAUGUAACCUCUGCAGGCUUCUCUUCCAAGCUCAGCUUCUGC